GUAGAAAAGACAAGAUGUUGAUUUUUUAAAAAGGACCACCUUCAAAAUAUUGUUGUUUAUGGAGUUUAUUAAGCAUAUACACAUGGAAAUCUAUAUAGAUAUGUCAUUCCCCACAAGUUAUGUGACAUUUUUUUCAAUUCUCUGUUCUUUCCCUUUCGUCGCCGCUGCUCACAUUAAUUACCCCUGUCACUUUCAUAGUUACCUAAUCUUCUCUCAAUAAACCAAUCUAGUCAGUCUAAAAACAACUAA
rnacentral:lncRNA from 1 species